rnacentral:lncRNA from 10 species
AAUUCGGGUUCCAGCCACGUCUGGAGUCUCGGAGACGAGCUUCUCAGAAGAGCCAAAACAGGAACCGAGGUGGCAAAUCACUGUGCGAGGGCGAGUGGACCUCCCUCUUUGCCUCCUCCCUGUUCCAGGAGCUGGUGCCCUGGGCUCUGCGCUGUUGUUUUCAGCGCUCCGAAAGCCGGCGCUUGAGAUCCAGGCAAGUGAAUCCAGCCAGGCAGUUUUCCCUUCAGCACCUCGGACAGAACACGCAUGUUCAAUGAGCUGUUUGUCUUUGAUAUUCCUUGUGAGGGCCUUGAAGAUAUAAGUGUUGAAUUUUUGGUUUUGGAUUCUGAAAGGGGGUCCCGAAAUGAGGUAAUCGGGCAGUUAGUCUUGGGUGCAGCAGCAGAAGGAACUGGUGGAGAGCACUGGAAAGAGAUCUGUGACUACCCCAGGAGACAAAUUGCCAAGUGGCACGUGCUCUGUGAUGGUUAGCAUCCUAGCCGUGAGUUGGAACUUAAAGGUUUUUACUAGGCAAGGAGAAAUUUUCUUUCUUUCUAUAUUGGAUUGCAAGCUUGGGAAAUCAAGCUACCUUUUUGUUGUUGUUGUUGUUGCUAGAAAUGGAUUGAAUUAGUAGACCAGAAAGUAACUUCAAAUGUGUAUUAUGAUAAUUUCCCUAUUUAUUAGAAGAGUUGGAUAAAUUUUCAUAAGAUAUUCAAUAUCUCCUUCAGAUUACCAGUGAUAUAACUAGGAAUAGUCAGACAUUUUAUGAAUACUGUGCCAGAAUCCCAAAUUAUAAAUGUGACAAUCUCAUUGGAACAUGUCACAAAAAGUUAAUGUGAUUAAGAUUUAAAAACGAAAAGUAUGCCUUGCCUUGUGAAAAUUUAUCCAUUUAUCUUCAGGUUGGGGAAAUCAAUUUUUCUUUAAAUCCAAAGAUACUAAAAAAAUGUCCUCCAGUUUGUAUUUAUUAAUUCUGUCAUGUGCAAAUGGUUGUCCUGCAUAUAAAAGUAUCUGGUCAUUUCAGUUUGGUUUGUAAUUAUUUGAUGCAAUUUUAUCAUAAGAGUAACUCAGAUUCAUUUCAAAAGGACAGUGAACAAGCUGAGAAAUUAUUUUAUCAAAGGGCUGAGUUGAGAACACUGUGGCUGAAAUAUAAUUUUUCUCCCCCCUAA